UCUCACGCACUCCUCUCCCGAUCUGAUCUCCACACGCACGCACUCAACUCCUCUGCCUCCACCCUCUUCUUCCCCUUCCUCCACACAAGCUGCAGCUCCUCUCCCUUCCUAUCUCCCUUCCGCCUUGCCCAUCUCCCUUCCUCCGUUGCGCAGCACCUGGAGAUAGGAGUAGCGGCGCCGCCCCUUUCCUCUUCUACGUCGAGCAGCAGCCGUGGCAGUGCACGGUGGCGCCGGAUUCGCCGGCCACGACCCAGCCCGGCAUGGGAUCCACCUCCCUUGGCCCCCCAGCGGCCGGAUCCGACCUCCCCCCCCCCCCACACAGCCGACCGUUCCGGCCGAGAUCGACUCCGCCGCCGCCGACCAUCACCGACGAGACGGACGGCCUGGUUCACCCCCGCAUGUGGAGGAGCAGCAGCACGGACGGCCUGGAGCACCGGCAGCGAUGCGUGGAGGAGCACUGGCGCUAGUUUGAUUUGUUGUAACAUUUGAUUAAUUUGCUUGAUUUGUGAUUUGGGGAAUGGAAUGAUAUCCGGCUGCCGGCGUGAGGAUUGGGGAUUAGGGAUUUGAUAUGUAAUUUUGGAUUAGGGAACGUGAGGGCCGGUAGGGCCAUUUCUAUUUUUUUUCUUCCAAAAACUACAUCAGUGUCGGUCGUUGUCUGGGGGAUGACUCCGGGUAGGGUCUAGACGACACACUUUAGCCGACAUAACGAAGGCAAAACCGGUACAAGCAUGUACGCCGGCAUCCAUAAGCCAAACUAAUGCUAAGCCAGCAUACCAAGUGUAUGCCGGCAUGACUAUCUUGUCUUGUAUGAUUGCAGGAUAAGGACAGGUACUCUGAUCUCGGCUACCGCCGAGAUGCCUCAAAUGUCUCAUCCUUGUCUCCUGGCGCAAAGUAAAGAAGCGUUAUCUUUAUCACAGGAAAGUAGUCGCUGCUUACGUUGUGGUGCCAGGCCUAUGCAAAAGAAGCACCGAAAGAGAAUCUCUGAUGGAAGCCGGCAGAUGGCUGCUGUACUUGUUGCAGGGAGCCAGGGAAAAUAAAGUUGUCUUGUCCCCUGCGGUGCCACCCGGAGCGAACCAAGGCGUGUGCCCGGCGGGGCCCAAAGAAGAUAAUGUUAGGCUCUGGCCCGCAUGUCAGUGUGACAUGGGCGGUCCAUAAAUAGAGCACCACCCCUCCCAGGAGAGGUAUCCAAAACUUAGGCAUCUAGGGUUUCCCCCUUCUUCUUCUUCUUCCUCAAGAAUACUGCUCAAGGAGCACCAUUGUAGAUUUUUA